GGAGUAGAGAUGGGAUAAUAAAAAAUAAAAAGGGAGAGGAAGAGAGAAACGGUGUGCUGUGCCUUGCUUCACAUUCAGUCAUUUCACAAAUCCAACAAGCAACAAAAACCCUUGUUCCUUCCUCCCCCUGAAGAUCUCAGUUCCAUACCCACUCAAAUUUCUACUGUCAACACACAUAUCAUGAUUCUCCAAACUAAAAAACGUACUGGAUUUUACAGGUUUUAGCAUGUUGAGGCUGCGGAAAUAGUACCAGAAUUGUUUAUCAAUCCAUCCUGCUAAAACCCAGAAAAACAGUGGAAAGAAAAUCAAGAAAAGCCUUUAUUCACCAAUCUGCAUGCCUAGUCUGGUGAAAGAGCCUCGGUGGAGUACGCCGAGGAUGGCGGAGUCAAGAAGGCGAAUAUGGCUAAGCCUGAUGAUGCCCGUUUGCAGGGCAGCACCCGCAGGAGAAGAGAAGCAGCGGCGGAGGUUGGGUACAACACAGAAAAAUGCGGGAAAGAAAAAAAUCGCUGGGUAUCUGCCAUCUUUUAACAAAUAUAGGGACAUAUUGUAAGGAAUCCAUCUCAGUGUACCCUCCUUAUGAGUUAUCACAUUUGGAUGAUUCAACAAAUGAUCCAAAUCCCUCAUUCGAAUUUGAGAAUAUGGAGAUGGACAAUUUUGUUUAUGAGAAUGUUAGUGAAGAUUUUGAAGAAAGUAAAAUGGGAAUUGGAAGAAGUCCUUCCCAGGCCAUGCACCCAAAGAUUUUCCAGAAGUAGUUGAAGAUACUGGUAUCUCUCCGAGGCCUACGCUGGAACAUAAUGAUAUGAAUGCAGAAGAUUGUCCCGGUGCAUUGUCUUCGAGUGAUAUGUCCAAAGAUAUUGGCGCCCUUGGUGGAACUUUCCUACAUACAAGCUGGCAGACAUGGAAGCUCCUUCCCCCUAAAUGCUUUUGAAUCUAUACUGAAAAAGCUUCAGCAAUUGGCACCCGAAUUACAUCGAGCAUGUGAAGACAAAGCCUAUACAAUGGAUUUUGUGGCUCAAAUCGUGAAUCGACAAGAUAAACAUGGAUGGUAUACAAAAGAGAAAAGAAGGCAUAUGAAACAAUGAAACCAAAGAGAAUAUCAAAGGAGGAGAUACUUCGUCUAAUGGAAGAAAAGAAACAACUAAAAGAACAAGAAAAGCUGAUUACAGCUGCUUCGAAAGGUGAAGGUGCUGAGACGAAAAAUACAAGAAGGAGGAUGCAGAAGUGGGAAAUGGGGAAAUACACUCUAAAAUCCAUUGUAGCUUAAAUUAAACAAAAAGUGGUUGAAUUGGGAUCAAUUGGAGCUUAGGAUAUCUGGUCACAAGGUUUGCAGAAAAAGGGGUUACAUAUUGCUCAACGUCAAACCCCAUGGAAAGAACUAUUGUAUGGACUACGGUAGUUCCUGAAGAAACUUAUGUGAUUUCUGGAGAUGCCGUGGAGA